rnacentral:rRNA from 2 species
AUCUUCGGACCUUGCGCGAUUGAAUGAGCCGAUGUCGGAUUAGCUAGUUGGCGGGGUAAAGGCCCACCAAGGCGACGAUCCGUAGCUGGUCUGAGAGGAUGAUCAGCCACACUGGAACUGAGACACGGUCCAGACUCCUACGGGAGGCAGCAGUGGGGAAUAUUGGACAAUGGGCGCAAGCCUGAUCCAGCCAUACCGCGUGGGUGAAGAAGGCCUUCGGGUUGUAAAGCCCUUUUGUUGGGAAAGAAAUCCAGCCGGUUAAUACCUGGUUGGGAUGACGGUACCCAAAGAAUAAGCACCGGCUAACUUCG